GUGCCAGCAGCCGCGGUAAUACGUAAGGACCGAGCGUUGUCCGGAAUCAUUGGGCGUAAAGGGUACGUAGGCGGUUAAAAAAGUUAGAAGUGAAAGGCUAUAGCUCAACUAUAGUAAGCUUUUAAAACUGUUUAACUUGAGAGAUGGAAGGGAAAGUGGAAUUCCUAGUGUAGCGGUGAAAUGCGCAGAUAUUAGGAGGAAUACCGGUGGCGAAGGCGACUUUCUGGCCAUUAUCUGACGCUGAGGUACG
rnacentral:rRNA from 1 species